rnacentral:rRNA from 1 species
GAUGAACGCUGGCGGCGUGCCUAAUACAUGCAAGUCGAGCGGAAAGGCCCUUCGGGGUACUCGAGCGGCGGACGGCUGAGUAACGCGUAGGAACGUACCCCAAAGUGAGGGAUAACUGCACGAAAGAGUAGCUAAUACCGCAUGUGCUCUUCGGAGUAAAGCUUCGGCGCUUUGGGAACGGCCUGCGUCCUAUUAGCUAGUUGGCGAGGUAAUUGCUCACCAAGGCGACGAUAGGUAGCUGGUCUGAGAGGAUGAUCAGCCAGACUGGGACUGAGACACGGCCCAGACUCCUACGGGAGGCAGCAGUAGGGAAUUUUCCACAAUGGGCGAAAGCCUGAUGGAGCAACGCCGCGUGCAGGAUGAAUGCCUUCGGGUUGUAAACUGCUUUUAUAGGUGAAGAAUAUGACGGUAACCUAUGAAUAAGGAUCGGCUAACUCCGUGCCAGCCGCCGCAGUAA